rnacentral:rRNA from 1 species
UGAUCAUGGCUCAGAUUGAACGCUGGCGGCAGGCCUAACACAUGCAAGUCGAGCGGUAACAGGGGAAGCUUGCUUCUCGCUGACGAGCGGCGGACGGGUGAGUAAUGUAUGGGGAUCUGCCCGAUAGAGGGGGAUAACCACUGGAAACGGUGGCUAAUACCGCAUAAUCUCUUAGGAGCAAAGCAGGGGAACUUCGGUCCUUGCGCUAAUAGAUGAGCCUAAGUCGGAUUAGCUAGUUGGUGGGGUAAAGGCCUACCAAGGCGACGAUCUGUAGCGGGUCUGAGAGGAUGAUCCGCCACACUGGGACUGAGACACGGCCCAGACUCCUACGGGAGGCAGCAGUGGGGAAUAUUGGACAAUGGGGGGAACCCUGAUCCAGCCAUGCCGCGUGUGUGAAGAAGGCCUUAUGGUUGUAAAGCACUUUAAGCGAGGAGGAGGGUACUGGUAUUAAUACUACCAGGUACUGGACGUUACUCGCAGAAUAAGCACCGGCUAACUCUGUGCCAGCAGCCGCGGUAAUACAGAGGGUGCGAGCGUUAAUCGGAUUUACUGGGCGUAAAGCGUGCGUAGGCGGCUAAUUGAGUCGGAUGUGAAAUC